AUACGGAGGGGGCUAGCGUUGUUCGGAAUUACUGGGCGUAAAGCGCGCGUAGGCGGCUUGCCAAGUUGGGCGUGAAAGCCCGGGGCUCAACCCCGGAAUUGCGCUCGAAACUGGCAGGCUAGAGACCGGGAGAGGAGAGUGGAAUUCCCAGUGUAGAGGUGAAAUUCGUAGAUAUUGGGAAGAACACCAGUGGCGAAGGCGGCUCUCUGGACCGGACCUGACGCUGAGGCGCGAAAGCGAGGGGAGCAAACAGGAUUAGAAACCCCGGUAGUCC
rnacentral:rRNA from 1 species